rnacentral:rRNA from 1 species
GACGAACGCUGGCGGCGUGCUUAACACAUGCAAGUCGAACGGAAAGGCCCUGCUUUUGUGGGGUGCUCGAGUGGCGAACGGGUGAGUAACACGUGAGUAACCUGCCCUUGACUUUGGGAUAACUUCAGGAAACUGGGGCUAAUACCGGAUAGGAGCUCCUGCUGCAUGGUGGGGGUUGGAAAGUUUCGGCGGUUGGGGAUGGACUCGCGGCUUAUCAGCUUGUUGGUGGGGUAGUGGCUUACCAAGGCUUUGACGGGUAGCCGGCCUGAGAGGGUGACCGGCCACAUUGGGACUGAGAUACGGCCCAGACUCCUACGGGAGGCAGCAGUGGGGAAUAUUGCACAAUGGGCGGAAGCCUGAUGCAGCAACGCCGCGUGCGGGAUGACGGCCUUCGGGUUGUAAACCGCUUUCGCCUGUGACGAAGCGUGAGUGACGGUAAUGGGUAAAGAGGCGCCGGCUAACUACGUG